UUGGACACCGAUGUUUUGGAAGCGGCACAUUGCGCACAGGAAGAAUUUGACACAGGUCGAAUUGCGACAAGUAGAAUUGGACACAAGUAGAUUGCGUACAAGCAGAGUAUCACAGAGUAAAUUUGGACACAGUAAUGAUUGCACACACUAUUAAUUGGACACAAAGCUACCUACUCGCGCGUGUUUCCCAUCUCAUACCUUAAUCUUUUAAUGCCGUGCGUGUUUCGUCUGAGAUGUUUGAAUCUUUUAUAAUUUACUGUUAGUGACGAUUCUCAUAAAGAGCCUGACGAACGUGUUGACAUUAAUUAUCCUUGCAGAAUAUUUAAUUUCUAAGAUGAUUUGUCGAAAAUUUAUUAAAGGGGUUCUACAUUAUUAGAUUUGCAAAUUAUAGUCAAGUGGUGUUCGAUAUUUCGUAAAUUCAUGAAAUAAGUAAAUGACAUUUAUGCAAGGACCUGUAACGAUAAGUAUGUAAGACUGUUCGAUGAAAUUUCUCGCAGGAGUUUGUUGUUGAUUUUGUGUGCUUAACCUUAUUUGAGUUGACAGGAAGUAGAAAUUCAGAUAUUAACUGUUGUGGGUUGACCAAAUUGAAUCACAUAUAUGACAUGGAAAUACAGCAAUGUUAAAUCAAAACGAACUGUUUGCAUCCUCUCUUCUGUGUAUUUAACCAUAUUUGGAUUGGCAGGAAGCUGAGGAUCCAAGAAGAAAUUUAGAUAAGUAUCUUUUGCUUAUAAAACAAUAGAUUUAACAAGAAUUAACAUGAUACUUUGUGGUGUUUUUAACUUAUACUUUACAGGUAGUUUAAUCAAUGUCGAGCAGUGAUUUAUAAUACGUGAAAGUUAUGGACAGACAACUUGGUUGAUAUGUGCAUUGGUGUGAGUUGGUGGUGAGUUGAGAAAUAUUACGUUUUCUAAGUUUAUUAUAAUAUAGAUAAACUGCUCGCUUACAUACGUACUUCAUAAUUCCAGACAUUAUGUUUUCUUUUACUAUUUAGUUGCUAAAUCCAAAGUGAAACAUACAAUAUUGGUAAUAAUUGAAUUUUUCUAGUAAUAUAUUUAUUAAACAAAUUCUUAAAUGCUAACUUAUAUUAUACAAUAUGUGGUAUUAUAAAUAUUAUUAUAUGUAAUAUGAAUACAUAAAACUAUUCAACGGGUAAGAUUUUAGGUAAAUCUAAAGAAAAAUUGCUUUUAUAUGAACCAUAUAUUACCAUUUGUAACAAACAAUUUGUAUAUACAAUAACCAUUAAUUUUUAUUAACUAAAGCUACCACUUAUAUUAUAUCACUAUUAAAUAUUCCGCUUCAACCGAACAACUGGAUAUAUCGUAGUUUCAUAGUAUGCAACUCUUGAACCUGAAAUGAAAGUAGAAUAAUUAAAAAGAGUUUAGAUUAAAAGAAAUUGUAUUCAUUGAAUUGUAUUGUAGAUUAAAGUAAGCUUACAUGUAUAUGUAUGUCAAGGGGCAGAUUUCAGGACACCAACUUUUCCUUUGAUAUAAUUACUUAGAUUUGUAAUUUCUUGACUUAGAUUUCUUAAGAAUUUUUGAAAUUUUGAAAAAAAGUUACUAUUUCUUAGAGAUACAAUUGAUUAUAUAUAGAAGGGCAGUUAUCAGGACAGGUCAAUUAUUGCAUGCAAAAGACAAAAUAAAUUGUUUCCGGAAGUUGAUUACUUAGUAAUAUGAAAUUUUUUAAUAAUUUGACAGUUUAUUCGAUAUUAUCAAAUUCUCCUAUUUCUAUAAAAGUUACAACUAUGUCUAUACAAUUUCAUCAUUCUUUGUAAUAAAUGUAUUUAUUCAUUGGGCGGUGUUCAAUUUUUGUGUAACGCAUUAAUAAAAACAUAGUAUUUAAGAUUUAUUUCUUCUGAGACAUUAAAAAACAUUUAAAUUCAGUUUAACUAAUAGAUAUAAAAGCAUUCGCGUACAGAAAAUGAAAUAAAUCUGUUUACGAAGUAAAAAACUUAUUUGAUUGAGGGUAGUAAAUUUUUUGCAAUAACCUGUUCUAUAUACCACAAUUGUUUCUUCAUUGAGCACAAAUAUUUUGUCUAUUGUACGCUUUAUUCUAGUUGUUUUGUUCUAAUUGUCUUUAUUUUAUUGCUUGCUUUGCAUUGAUAUUUUGUAGAACCUUCAACUGCUUCUGUAAACCAUUGAUUAGUCACUGUUCUGAUAUAUUAUGAUUUAUAAAGUAUGAUGGCAUUACAUUCUUUUUAAGGUCUAUAAAUUGCAAGACAAAUGUAUGUAAUUCAAUGAUCUUCUUGUAUGGAUAAUUUCUUAACUGUAUCUGUUCAAUUUAUUGACUUCAUAAAUUUAUUGCUGUAAUUUUCCUAUCGAUGUCUAGACAAACGCUGAAAAUAAAGAAAAAAGUAUCAUAAUGUUAUAUAUUGAAACAUUGUAUUUUAUUUACAACUUUAAUUUGAAAUAAAGUAUUUAUUAUUUCUUUUAUCUUAAACAUAUUUCCAGAUUAAUCCUGCGAGAACGUAAGUGCAACUCUUUAUUCAAUAUUUUUGCUAUUUGUCCAAGUAUUUCAUUGAAUACUAUACAUUUCCCCUAUGUUCUGUAAUACUAGUUGCGUUGCAACCAUAGAAUUACCAUUAAAACAUAUAUAAUUACAUAGAAGAAUAUAACUACUGCAUAAUUAGAACUACAAGAGUAAGUAUUCUUCAAGUAGAUACAUUAUUAGAUAUCGUGAGACUUUUCAAUAUAUAGAAUAAACUAAAGUGGAAACUACCAUUUGUAUUGAAGAAACCUAACACCAUUUGAUGCAUGUAAUAACUACAGAAUCACAUUAAAUGCUAGCUAUUAAUAUAGAUUAAAGUGUAAAACUGCUUUUUCUUGUAAUUCACCAUUUGACUCUGGCUGAUCGUCAACAACAUAUCACAGGACUCAAGUAAUGGGAACUUUAAAUAUUAAGUCCCACUGAAAAAAGUUCUGUGUCUUGUUCAUUGAAUUGGUUUACUAUCUUUUUAAUCUUCCUUGAUGAAUCAAAAAUUUUCUCCUUGGUUAUUAUCCAAUUUCCACCUUAUGUACACAGAUACUUACAUCCAAAUUAAUAUUUACAAAUGAAAUCACAAGCGCAUACAAUCAUAAUUUUCAUACACACUUUAUAUACAGAUCACUUAAUUCUAAAUUAAAGGGAGCGCUAUGUAUGUAUCAUAUCACGUUGCACUGUUAAAAUUUAUUAUGCUUCUAAUGCAUACGUACACAUAUUACAAGGAACAUUACUGUGUCUUGUGCAUUACUUCUAGCAAUAUCUGGACGAAUUUUCUUCCACUGUCUUAAUAACUGGCAUCCAAGUGUUUCUUAUUUGGACAAAAUGAAUAUUUAUUACCUUAAAUUUGUAUUAUGAAAUGCACACUUAAACACUGUUUUUGUAUAUUUUUUUCCACAACGACACGAAAAAUUUUUCAUCACUUAUUCUUCUAUGUAAAAACACGUUAUAUUCCCACUCACAACAAUUGCAUAAAAAACCACAUACAAAUUAAAUUCAGAUCCAAAUUUAAUAAAUUCUAAGUCAUAUUUAAUCACACAUUUUCCGAUACAAUAUCAGCACACGUAGCCUUCGAAAAGCAAUGAUUAUUAAAUUUACGGCGUUAAAAUGUUACGAAUUCAAAGAGUACAAGUUCAACCGACACAGCGUCCAAAGUGAACAUUUAUCUAAAUUUAUAUUAUGAAAUGCACACUCAGACUCCAUUUUUAUAUAUUUUUUUCUGCAACAGCACCGGCUCCCGUUCAAAAACUGGAAAGUAUUGGCAAUUUCCAGUAAAAUAAUAAGUCGAUCGUACAAAUGCAUGGAGAAAUAGUGUAAUUAUUAAAUUUUGUUCAUUUUUACUGGUUUAUUGCGUCAUCUGCAUAACGCCUUACUUUUCGUCAUGAGCAGUGUUUCGCCGAAUAAUUGAAAAUAAAAAGGAAUGUUAUUGACAAUAUAUUGUUAGGCUACAC